GGAUCUGAAGAAAUCUUGCAAGCUGAAGCCUGACAGUUUGGUGCAAACCUCCGAGGGCUCACCACUUCAGUAGAACAUGCAUGGUUCAGGUGGUUUUACAGGAACAACACUAACAAAGUCCUCUGGAGACCCUUUCUUGGAUCCCGCUCCACCUUCUCAGGAGGUUUAUGAUCACCUCGGAGUUGUUCAGCAAUGAGACACUUGCCUUGAACAAAAAGGAGGCUAACUACAGAGGACCACCCUGCCCUUGCAUAUUCCAAGACAGACUCAUCUCCAUCCUUGCGCGUGACUCCCGUAGGACUCGCAGAUGGCUCCGUUAGUGACCUGCUUGCAUAAAACCCUCGGUCCCCUUCCUUUUCUUUGAGGAAGUUCUCAUUAACGAUCAUUCUCCUUAUAAUAGCCUGAAUAAAAUCAUAUAUUUAA
rnacentral:lncRNA from 1 species